GGCCUGCUGGCUCUUUUCCUCUGUUUCUGAACUUCCGCGCCCUCCCUCCCUCCCAGAGUAUUUUGUAAAUGAUGUCAUUUAAUGUCCUUUUGAUUCUGACUAGAUAUGGAUAACAGCAAGGAUGAAAAAAGUAGGACGCUGUGUGCAAGCUCAGAAGAAGGGCUGAAAGCCCGAGGAAAAGAAAAAAGGAAACGAAAGCGGAGCAGAAGCAGAUCCUCAUCUGUUUCAUCCACAUCGUCUUCUAGCAGUACAUCCACGUCUUCCUCCUCAUCACACUCAUCGUCAAGGUCAUCUUCCAGUAGUAGUAGAGAUUCUCCUAAGUCUAAGUCAAAGAAGAAGAAAAAAGAAAAGCACAACAAAAAGGUAUUGUAUAGGGUGGUGGUAGCUGAACUGAUAAAUGAACACUUGACAUUAUACAAAAAGAGAAAUAAUUUGCCAGUCAUUGCUGCUCCAGCUGGAGUUUAG
rnacentral:lncRNA from 1 species